GACAGAGGAUGCAAGCGUUAUCCGGAAUUAUUGGGCGUAAAGAGUACGUAGGCGGCUUAUCAAGUCAGGGGUUAAAUCCCGCAGCUUAACUGCGGAUCGUCCUUUGAAACUGAUCGGCUAGAGUAUGGUAGGGGUAGAGGGAAUUCCCGGUGUAGCGGUGAAAUGCGUAGAUAUCGGGAAGAACACCUGUGGCGAAAGCGCUCUACUGGACCAUAACUGACGCUGAGGUACGAAAGCUAGGGGAGCGAAUGGG
rnacentral:rRNA from 1 species